CGUGGGUAACCUGCCCAAGAGAUCGGGAUAACACCUGGAAACAGAUGCUAAUACCGGAUAACAACGCUAGACGCAUGUCUAGAGUUUAAAAGAUGGUUCUGCUAUCACUCUUGGAUGGACCUGCGGUGCAUUAGCUAGUUGGUAAGGUAACGGCUUACCAAGGCAAUGAUGCAUAGCCGAGUUGAGAGGCUGAUCGGCCACAUUGGGACUGAGACACGGUCCAAACUCCUACGGGAGGCAGCAGAG
rnacentral:rRNA from 1 species